GCCCCUCCAGGCUGGAACGAGGAGCUGCUCAGCUGCUGGCCUCUUGCAUCUUCUUAUAUGUGGCGAUCUCUAUAUCCAGAGCCAGUUUGACAUUCAUCAGUUCCUGGUAAUCCCUCAUUUGGCGAGCCAUGUCCUGCUUGGCCUUCUGUAGAGCAGCCUCCAGCUCGGCCAGUUUGUUCUUGGCAUCUCGGACAGCCGCUUCUCCACGUUCUUCAGCCUCACUUAUAGCUGCUUCCAGUGCAGCACGCUUCAGUCAAAAACACAUGCAUCAGAUAUUUACCGCAUCAUACAGAGUCCUCAAGAAGUUAAUCUCAUCAGCCAGGGAGUCAGCCUUCGUCUGAAGUUCAGCUUUGUUCAAGAAAGCUGCAUCAACAUCCUACAGAACAGAUAAUAACCAAUUUCACGUUUAUAUAUCUGCAUUUCUCAUCUCUAUCUGGCUACACUUUUCACACCCAAAGAAAGUUUGUCUGCUACUGUGAUCCUGUCUGCAAUGCAACAACCCCUCUGCUAAUUAGAUUGCUGAACAUAUUGAGGAUCACACCUAACCCUGUGCCAACUGAUACAGUAUAAUAUGUAAUACUUAAUACCAUAAUUGACAGGGGCUGCAGUCAGAACCUUGGCCUGCAUUUGUUAAGAAUACAUUUGAAGUAUGUCAUUUCAAGGGUACAAUUCAUUAUCGGAGUUUGAACUGGAUUUGGAUAUUGGACUACUCUAGAUUCUAAAAUGAAACAAUUUUACAAAGACUGCAGCUCAGGAUCAUUAUGUGGCCUCUCUACAACCAUGAGAACUCCAGGAUCAGGCCUACCACCCCUCCGGCUGAGAACAUCAGGUGCUGCCCCCGUGCCUACCACUCAAGUCUUUUUCCGUCCGACUGUGUGCUAUUCCUGUAAUGUGUACCUCCACUGAUUGCACACCCUGCCAACGGCAACCUACGCAGUGCGCCCCAGAUGGAUGCCUUGGAUGGGUCCUUCGCGGACAGGAUGUACUUCAUGUGGAUCUUUCUGUACAGGUUUCAUAAGCUGUGAUUGGCAUCUGCAAAACUAAAGAACAGCCACAUCUGCCUUAAUAGCCAUGGCCAUAUCCGGAGCUGUAUUUUCCUGAGGAUAAACUGCCGCUGCUAAAUCCGCUUUUGUGGUGAUGUCCGUUUCCUCCGUGUGCUCCUCCGCUGCUGGAGUGUAGGACAGCUUAAUAAGGAAGCAGAAGGUAUAACAUUAACAAUCAUAGAUACACUCUAGAUCAAGUAUUUUUGGGAAUGUUUAACUGCUCAUGUUUACAAUACUCAUUUCCAAAACAUUAUACAUGUGAUAUAUAGUCCACUAUAAUAUUUAUGCUGUAAACAUAAAUGUUUUGCUUGUUUCUCUCUAUAUGAGAACACUGGAGCAUGAGUAAUAACAAUAGUGCUUCUUUAUUCAGCGAUUACACACUACCCACACUCUACACAUUGGUCUACACCCACUUCCCAGCAUUCCCCAUGGUCAUAAGGACCGUCACUGAAGGCUUUCAUAAGGUAAGGUAAGGGAGUGUCUGCAAAUAUCUAAUGCAAUAAC